rnacentral:RNase_P_RNA from 2 species
CAAGUAGACCGGGUGGCCGCCCUGUAUUAGUACGGGGAGGAAAGUCCGAACUCCACCGAGCAGGGUGCUGGGUAACACCCAGGAGGGGUAACCCUACGGAAAGUGCCACAGAAACAUACCACCUAUCCCUUGAAAAACAAAGAGUGGCAAGGGAACAGGGCAAGGGUGAAAUGGUGAGGUAAGAGCUUACCAGCAGUCAGGUGACUGAUUGGCUGGGCAAACCCCACCUGGAGCAAGACCGAAUAGAAGGGCGAUAACCGCCCAGAGAGCUGUGGUUUUCUUUGGUUGCGGUUUAAGGUGCUCGGCCGAAGCCCUCGGGUUGGUCGCUUGACCCCAGCGGUAACACUGGGGCUAGAUGGAUGGCCACCACUCCACUUUGGAGUACAGAACUCGGCUUAUAGAUCUACUUGCUCC